GACGAAGGGGGCAAGCGUUGUUCGGAAUUACUGGGCGUAAAGCGAGUGUAGGUGGUUGUCGUAGUCAGGCGUGAAAGCCUCGAGCUCAACUCGAGAAAUGCGCUUGAUACUGGGCAGCUAGAGGACCGGAGAGGAUAGUGGAAUUCCCAGUGUAGUGGUGAAAUACGUAGAGAUUGGGAAGAACACCAGUGGCGAAGGCGGCUAUCUGGACGGUUUCUGACACUAAGACUCGAAAGCGUGGGGAGCAAACAGG
rnacentral:rRNA from 1 species